rnacentral:lncRNA from 1 species
AAAAAUCUUUAUGUGGAGUGAAGUAUCUUCCCACUUUAUGUUUAUACAUAGCAAUGCGUAAGAAGAAAGCGUGAUAGUAAGAAAAGAAUGUCAACAACCACCCAAACAAAUCAACAAGCAGUUUCCUUUCUUCGUUCUCUGGUGGUGUCGAUGGCGAUGAGACGUCGUACUCGGAGAGGCCUUCCAGUGUGCUGUCGUUCCACUCGCCGGCACGUUGGCAGCUCUAGUUCAACGAUGUCAAAGAAUCCAACCAGCUCGUAAAUCCCUAGAUCACAAGCUUUCCCUAAUUUUAUUUUUCUGUGUGUUGUAUUUGAAUUUAAAUCUUCUCUGUUGUACUUGAAGCUCGAAAGCAAGUGUCUCUGUCGGUUCUUGAAGCUCCUCUUUAUCUCCGAAACCCCUUCAAUAUUUGUUCUCACACCGUUGGAACUCCACCUCGGAAGUUGCAACAACGUUAUACAGCUGGUAUUAUCAAGGGUAAAAAAGCCAUUUGUGUUCAAUUCAUCGCAAAUCUCCUCAGCACAGCGGGUGAUACAAAAAGUAGGUAUCCCGCAAAUCUUCUCAAUUCGGUCGUUGCAAAUCCGCGGAAGUGAACAACGUUUUUGAUUGAAUUCAUCGCUCGCCAAUCUGCGUGAAUAGUAAAUUCAGCGCAAGUGAACACAGCCUAAGAGUUUUUCUGUCACUUUGCUUAAUUCCAAGAAUCUCUUUACUGAUGACAAACAUUUGUGAUGCAGGGAAAUAUUUUUCAAGGAAAAGUCUUUCCAUAUUUUCCCAGUUAGAUAAUACCACAAAUCCUGAGUUGCUCUUUGAGAGUAAAAGGAGAAGCUCUCAUUUUCAAGGUUUCUAAUGUGAUAUUGGGAGAUCUAAAGUUUUCACACAACAUAUGAAAUUGUCUUAGAUGUUUAUAUGGAUUCUCCCCAAAUAACUCAUUGAAUUUUGACAAGGCAUUUAGUAGGUUAGUUCUCAGCUCACACUCUUCAUUUGGAUAUUCAAUGUCAUUGUGUGUGACUGUAUUGUAGGAGGUAGCUAACUUUCUAAUGGUUCUUUAAGCCAUUAUGUUUAGGUCAGGAUCAGGUGAAGGAUCAAAAGAUAUGUUUAUAACUGGAGAAGAUGAAAGUGAUAUAGUUUGUGCAGUGGCUUCCGAUGUUGAAGAUGUUCUCUCAAUAGAACACCCAAAUUUCAAAUUUUUUCGUAUCCUAUGCAAGUUUCAUUUAACUUCUGGGUCAAUUUGAUAAAAUUCGCUCAGGUUGGCUUGAGUCAUGCACUAUAAAGUUCGACUGAAGUUGUUUCUUUGUUCUUGACUUUUUUUUCUUCGCGUUGGAGAAAGAUUUCAAAUAAGAAAUAAGUAAGAUGUUGUUGGGUCCAUUCCUAGGAAAGAAAUGUGCAUCACAAUAGACAAAUUAAGUAUCAAGUCUUUUCUAAUCAAAGUAUUCUCCAACUAGUCUAAAGUAUUUCUCAAGAGAAAUUCUUAAUCAAAACAAAAGCAAAGAUUUUGCUAGCAAUUUACAAAUAACUAAGGAUAAGAUGCUUUUUCUAAGGUUAUAACGUUAGCGGUCACUUAUCAGACAAUGUUUUCUUUUAGAAAGUUUUGCUUGAUAUAAUACUAUAUUGAAUAAAGACUUUGUUUAACCUUAGUGUUAUACAAGAGACGGACUUCUAUUUUCAUAAGAUGUUAGCUUGUCUUGCUCAUAUAGUCUAUUAGAUUAUUAGAUGAAUUCAAUGAUAUACUUUCUUUUAGACGUUG